AUGCAGGCUAAAGGCUUUUCCAGUAACUGCCCAGCAAGACGAACACCCACAGUAUCAUAAAAUAGGAAAGAGCUUGUACGGUGACAAAGUCCGGUUUAAAGUCAUCUCCAAGCAGUAUACCUCAUUUAAAUCAGGCAUACUUCGUCAAGCUUUGCAUACAAUGUUGGUCAUGCAGAAAAUAUGCCGGUUUCUGUCUCUGCUUUCAGCUCUCUCUUGAUGAUUGUUGCAGUCAUAUUGAGCUCUGUGAUAGUUUCUGCAACUAAAAGGAUGAGUCAUUUCCUCGAAACCCAAGACUUGUGCAUUCGAUGUAAGCCAUCAGGUAAAAACACAAAGAACUAUGAAUGCAAAAUUUGUGAACAUAACUCCACAGUAGUGGGUUUCAUUAUUCAUGCCCCUUUUUUUUGGGCUAAUGAAACCCUGUCUCACCUAUUUGGUAUCUAUUGAUCCUUUUUAGCCAUUCUACUCUACCAAAGGCCUUUAUCUUUUGUUAAAUCAUAGUCAUGUUUGCCUUUUUUGCAGUCUCAAUCUACAUUCCUUUUGUCCUUCUGACUGUCAUUGUAGGACCUUCAAACCAUCUCCACCAUGAUGGCAUCUUACCAUAAAAUGGUGCUACCUAUAUCUUCAUAUGUAUAGAUUUAUAAUUCAGUCCAUUCUUGCCUUGCCACUCAUCUAUCUCAGCAUCCUAUUAUCAAUUAUUUCCAAUUCUUUCUCACAUACCAACACUUUCUUUUCCUUUCAUUUUUGCCUUUUCCUUUUGGUGGGAAUGGGGUUCCACAGUAUUUGCUUUUCCUUUAAUGUUUGUAGAGAUUGGCCACUGGUCAAUCUCCUACAAGCAUUUUCAAGUUCUGCUCAUUUCCUUUUAAUGAAAAGAUGCCAAUUGCUUAUUCAUCAUUUUUUUGAGGAAAGUUUCUAAAGGGUCUUUAGGUUUUAGUAUUUCAAGAAUAACUCACACUUGGAGUUCAAUUCAAACACAAAAAGGAAAAAAGAAAACCUGUGGACUUGUUGACCCCGGUUUCUUUCUUCAAGCAUAAAAAAUUCACGCAAUGUGUUUGAUGCUGUAUUGAUCCCAUUGUCUUCCUGGUGAUGGUGAUAUAGUACCACUAUGUAAAAAGGGGGAAGUGGUGGCCAACCUACUUAUAUUUUAAUUAAUUCAAAGUGGGUUAUUCCAG